ensembl:snRNA U1 U1 spliceosomal RNA
CAGUGGGACUAGAUAUCAUGAUCACAAAGGUAGUUUUCCCAGGUUGAGACUCAUCCAUUGCACUCUGGGUGUGCUGACCUCUGUGAUUGCCCCAAAUGAAGGAAACUCAAUUG